GUCUUCAUGCUCACUUCAGCAACACAUAUACUAAAAUUGGAAUGAUAUACAGACUAGCAUGACUCCUGUGCAAGGAGAAACAUGUAAAUUUGUGAAGUAUUACAUAUUUAA
ensembl:snRNA U6 U6 spliceosomal RNA